UAAGCGUAUAGCUUUUUCCCUU
rnacentral:miRNA from 1 species